rnacentral:misc_RNA from 1 species
UCCGGCUUAUCACCGGCGGUUUCUUUAGAGUGCCCAACUAAAUGAUGGCAACUAAAGACGAGGGUUGCGCUCGUUGCGGGACUUAACCCAACAUCUCACGACACGAGCUGACGACGGCCAUGCAGCACCUGUGUUCCGGCUCUCUUUCGAGCACUCCCAAAUCUCUUCGGGAUUCCAGACAUGUCAAGGGUAGGUAAGGUUUUUCGCGUUGCAUCGAAUUAAACCACAUCAUCCACCGCUUGUGCGGGUCCCCGUCAAUUUCUUUGAGUUUCAACCUUGCGGCCGUACUCCCCAGGCGGUGUGCUUACCGCGUUAGCUCCGGCACCGAGGGGCAAGCCCCCCGACGCCCAGCACACAUCGUUUAGGGCGUGGACUAC